GGACAGUCCGCAUAACCCUGUGGUCCCGUGACCUUUCCAGGGCACCACAUCGCUUCAGGAGAGGGGGAACAGCCAGAGUUCCUCUGGCAACAAACUGGUUGCUGCAGAAACUCUAGGAGGAAGCAUAACAAUGGAAUAACUCCUGGACCAGAAGAAUUCCUGGCUGAUCCCAACUUCUUCAACCACAGAGAAGAAUUCUGGGGCAAAGCAAGAGCUCGAGCUGAAGGAGAGUUCAAGAAUGAUAGCGUUCGUUCUAUGGGCAAACUUCAGAAAUGAGACUUGUUAUUUAGAGUUCAGACUGGUUUAAUGUGUAACUCAGGACUCCAUAUUAUAUUGAUCCCAAAGAAACCUUCCAGGAAUGCCAGAUCUGAAGAUUAAUGCCCUUCUCGGAUACGGUAAAGGAUAUUGCACAUAAGGAAUGUACUACAAAUGUGGUUGGACUUGACGAUGAACAGACUUUUAUAAAAGGCUCAGAGGAAGAAGCGACAAAGUGAGUCCAGGGGGAACUACAAAGCACGGACCACGAGGAGUGAAGAAUGCAACAGGCUAAAUUGUCUAGAACACUCACUUCUCCGUCAAUUACAUGAAACAUACCAUCCUUUAUCAGAUCAGUGAUCAACCCAGCCCAGUAUUUUGUCUAAGAGCAACACCAAAGGCUGUUGUGAGAAAACAUGGCUAUUGGCUGAAGCAACUUCAAGAGGAUCGGCCCAUGUCCAUCCUUGAACCUCGAAGCCACCUUAUCAUCACAUUCCAAUGUUUGCUACCCACUCCCAAGGAUUACUCAAGCUUUCCUAAAAUGACCUCUAUCUUUGAAAGGAUACUUUUUAGUCCUAGUAUUUCAAGAUGAUGAAAAAUGACACCUUUUCCUUUAGUAAUUCUUCCCACAAUUUUAUAGAUUUGACCAUAUCCACACUUAAGCCUUUUUUUUGUGGGAGCAGCUGGGUAGCUCAGCAGAUUGAGAGCCAGGCCUAGAGAUGGGAGGUCCUAAGUUCAAAUCUGGCCUCAGAUACUUCCCAGCUGUGUGACCCUGGGCAAGUCAUUUAAUUCCCAUUGCCUAGCCCUUACCACUCUUAUGCCUUGGAGCCAAGUCACAGUAUUGACUCCAAGACGGAAGGUAAGGGUUAAAAAAAAAAAGACUUUUUUGACUAGGAGACCCAAAUUUGGUUUGCAUUUUUUUGUCUGUCCUCAAAAACUCCCAUCAUUGAUUGCUUCAUUCUUGCUGCCCUCUUGCUGACCGAUCGAUCUCUGGCUUUGUCCUUCCUAAGCAAAGCAAAUCGUGUAACAAAGUUCCAUAUACAGGCAAGACAUGAUUUGAAUAUUUUUCAUUUUGUUUUCAAUUCCUUCCUAUGAAGUUUGCUUCUACUUUUUUGAUUUUUCAUGCCACAGCAACAUUGUCCUUAAGAAAGAGGUAAUGAUUUUCAGGUUGGUCUUAGAUGUUAUAUAGCUUAUUCUACAUCACUUUACAAUGCACAGCCACCAACUCAUUACUUCUAAUACAAAUUUCCACACCUUCUCCUUUUUUUUUUUCUAAACCCUUAUCUUAGGUCUUAGCAUCAAUACUGUGAAUUGGUUUCAAGAUGGAAGAGUGGUGAGGUCUAGGCAAUGGGGGUCAAGUGACUCACUCAGCUAGGAAGGAUCUGUGGUCAGAUUUGAACCUAAAACCUUUCAUGUCUAGGCCUGGCUCUCAAUCCACCGAGUCACCUAACUGUCCCAUUUCCAUAUCACCUUGUGGAUUACAGAGCACUUUUUCUCAAGAUACUCCCCUGAAAAAGAUAGUACAAGAAUUAUUAUCCCCAUAUUAAAGGUGGUAAAACAGACUUUGAAAGAGGUUAAGUGAGUGGCUUAUAUAGCUGAUCCCCAAUAGUGGGGUCUAGUCUAUGAGUAGUUGCUGCUGUACUUCCAAGCUGGGCAAGAUAGAAUGAUGUCAUCUAGAAUGAGAGAUAGAUAAGAUAGAUAGAUAGAUAUAGACAGAUGGAUAGAAAGAUGGAGAAGAAAGAAAGAGAGGGAAAAAAGAAAAUAAUAAGAAGAAAAUGGAAGGAAAGAAGGAAGGAAAGAACAAAGGAAGAAAAUGAAGAGAAGUAGGAAGGAAGGGAGUUAAUUAGUACUCUCUUCUUGCACAUUGUAUGUAAGUGAUGAAUAAGUAGCUGUUAAAUUAAUGCAUUGCUCUAAAUGUUGUGGAGGGAAAUUUUGUGAGGAUGUAUGUGUAACUGCCUGGGAUUGAUUUGUAGAGAAUUCUGGGAAGAAAGUGACAGAUGAGAGAGAGGAUGGGGGUCAAGAGGAGCAGAUGUAUUCCCCCACUUGAAAGAAAGAUAUGGGAUGGAAUUGGAACCUCCUGCUUGUUUCCGACACAGCAUUUUAGACUGAAAGGUCAUGAGAACCAAGCAUUCCAGAGGUACUUGUGUGACCUCAAUGAUGCAGAUUAUGUUUAGUUUGGAUGAGAUGGCUCCCCCUCAAAGUCAUCCUUGAAAGUCUGAGCCAAGAGGAAAGGCACCAAUUAAUUGUCUUCCUCUCUGGUAUCUAAGCAGCAAAUCCGUUUCUGCUUCCUGCCAUCAGAAAACACUGGCUGUUCAAUUUUGCUUUCUUCUUUUUUUUUUUAACUUAAAAAAAUGUUUUUCCAGUUACAUAUAGACAAUUUUAAAAAAUUAAUUAAGAAUAUUUUUCCCAUGGUCCCAUGAUUCAAGUUCUUUCCCUCCCUUCUUCUCUCCCUGCUUCUGUAGCCAACUAGCAAUUCCACUGAGUUUUAAAUGUAUCAUUGAUCAAAACUUAUUUUCAUAUUAUUAAUAUUUGUACCAGAGUGAUCAUUUAGAGUUUACAUCCCCAAUUCCAUCCACAUCAACCCAUGUGAUCAAGCAGUUGUUUUUCUUCUGUGUUUCUACUCCCACAGUUUUUCCUCUGGAUGUGGAUAGCAUUCUUUCUACUAAGUUCCUCUGAAUUGUCCUGGAUCAUUGCAUUGCUGCUAGUAGAGAAGUCCAUUAGGUUCAAUUGUGCCACAGUGUAUUUGUCUCUAUGUAUAGUGUUCUCCUUUUGUUCUGCCUCAGUUCCUGGAGGUUGUUCUAGUUCACAUGGAAUUCCUCCAGUUUAUUAUUCCUUUGAGCACAAUAGUAUUCCAUCAUCAACAGAUACCACAAUUUGUUCAGCCAUUCCCCAAUCGAAGGGUUUAUUGAUUUAGCUCCUUAUAAAUUUGAGUAAGUAGACCUUUGUCAGGGGUUUUUGUUAUGAAGAUUUUCCCCCCAAUUUGUUGCUUCCCUUCUAAUGUUGGUUGCAUUGGUUUUGUUUGCACAAAUCCUUUUUAAUUUAAUGUAAUCAAAAUUAUUCAUUUUACAUUUUAUAAUAAUCUCUAUCUCUUGCUGGGUCUUAAAUUCUUUCCUUUCCCCUAUACCUGACAGGUAUACUAGUCCAUGUUCACCUAAUUUACUUAUAGUUUCCUUUAUAUUCAAGUCAUUCACCCAUUCUGAGUUUAUUUUGGUGUAGGAUGUGAGAUGUUGAUCUAAAUCUAAUCUCUCCCAUACCAUUUUCCAAUUUUCCCAGCAGUUUUUGUCAAACAGUGGGUUCUUGUCCCAAAAGCUGGGUUCUUUGGGUUUAUAGUAUACUAUCUUGCCAAAGACAUUUACUCCAAAUCUAUUCCAUUGAUCCUCCCUUCUGUCUCUUAGCCAUUUAGGGAUUAAAUUUAUAAUUGGACUAAAUAAAGAGAAUGUGGUUGCUGAUUAAUUUAAUCAUUAAUUAAUUAAUUAAAAAUUAAUACAGCUCAAGUCAAAAUGACUUUUUAGCAGCUUUAUUUACAAAAAGAGAGAAAGUGAAAGUAGAGAAAUGUAAAAGGAGGGUAGAGAAGAUAUCUGCCUUAACACACUAAGUAUUUGCUCCAGCACCUGGCUCCACUCUGGCAGGGCUUGUUAAUCCCAGCCAGAGGGUCUAGUGAUGAAUUAAUCAAGGGUUUUACCCACAUGGCCUCCUCUAAAAGGGAGGCCUCUCCAGUGCUAAUCUCUCCAGAAGCCAGGUAAGCCUUUUUCACUCACCCAAUCCAAAGUCCAAAGGGAGAAGAUCCAAGUGCAGUCUUAUCAGAAGCAGGUCAAGUCACCAGCCCUAGGUCCUUCACACUGAAGAUUCAGGCUGAAGACCAUAGACCAAAAACCUUCUGACAGGAAGUUUAGGCCAUUUUAAUGGAUCUUUCUUUACAUCACUUCCUGUCCCUUCCUCCACUUUACAGGGACCAAUUGCAGUCUUUAAAUUUGCUUAACACUGCCUAAGGGGCAAUAAAUCUUUUCUGGAGGUGUUACUCACUUUAGUCAGUGAUUUGUGAACCUCCCCUACUUAGUGUUAAGUAGCAGUGUUUACACUUUUGGUUGAUUAAAUUUAAAAGUAGGCAAGGGGAGAGUCAAUCCCAUCUUCACAAAUCUCCCUGUGAUCCUUUGGGAGACCAGUCUCCCCAAUGGAUCAUUUAAACGUAACUCUCUUAUACUUCUAAAAAUCUUCUUACUAAAGGUGCAUACAAUAUUGUACUUUCUAAGAGGAAACUACAAUAGUUAGAGAUAAGAGGGAACUAGAAGAGAGAGAGAAAGAAAGAGAAAAACCAAUGUUUUCUAGGAGCAUUGACAAAAAAUCAAUUAGAGGGUAGUCCCCUUUGGCAUAAGAGUUUACAUUCAGAAUAACUGCGUUCAACCUCCUUCAGUUAAAUCAAUUGCAUCCCAAAAUUCAUUCUGGAUCUUCUGAUGCAAUGGAGAUUUCUUUAUGGCACUUUCUCCAAACAGUUCACUUUCUUGAUUCAAGGAGUUAACAAGCUUCUUUUCAUGAAAUUUUUUUCUCAGAAAAAUUUAAAUCUUGGAUUUUAUGAAAAUUAUAUAAUCCCCCCCCCCCAAGGAGGGUGUUGACCAACACCCAAAUCAACUUGGGAUACAUGGUUGAGUUAUGGGGUAUAUAAAUUAUGUCAAAAGAAAACCAAAAUCAUAAAAAAGAAAUACAAAUAGAAGAAAAAAUUAAACUUUUGAAGAAAAGAAAAAAUUCAGAAUCAGAAUCAAAAUAUCAAAAUUUAUGUAUAUAAAAAUUUCUGAGUAAACAAGACUAAAUUCAUAAUAGGUUCUUAAAUAAGGGUUCAAUUAAAGUAAUUUUUGUCCCACAAAUCUGUAGGACAAAUGCAGUAAUAUUGCACUUACCAAUUGGCAGGCAGGACUACAGGAAGUUGCCAUACUACAAAAGAGAAAAAAAAGACUAGAUUUUCUGAGUAAAAGGGAAGUAUGUUUCCCUGGCCUGUUUUUACCUUCACUCUCAGGGAUAGAGGAGCCAAGAUGGUAGCCAUUCUUUUUUUUUUUCAUUUUGAACCAACUUUCUGUACUGUUUCUGUACUAUUGUGUUGAUGUAGAGCUGAGAUUCAAAAGAUCUUGGCUUUAAAGGCAGCAUGAUGGAAUGUUAAAAACAGAGGAAAACUUUCACCCAAAAGGUUGUUUUUGUUGUUGACUGACCAUAUCAUUCUUUUUUUUUUUAAAUAUAUUUUAUUUGAUCAUUUCCAAGCAUUAUUCGUUAAAGAUCAUUUUCUUUUCCUCCCCCCCACCCCCCAUAGCCGACGCGUAAGUCCACUGGGCAUUAGAUGUUUUCUUGAUUUGAACCCAUUGCUUUGUUGAUAGUAUUUGCACUAGAGUGUUCAUUUAGAGUCUGUCCUCUGUCAUGUCCCCUCAACCUCUGUAUUCAGGCAGUUGCUUUUUCUCGGUGUUUCCACUCCCAUAGUUUAUCCUUUGCUUAUGAAUGGUGUUUUUUUUCUCCUGGAUCCCUGCAAGUUGUUCAAUACACCGCCACUAAUGGAGAAGUCCAUUACGUUCGAUUAUACCACAGUGUAUCAGUCUCUGUGUACAAUGUUCUCCUGGUUCUGCUCCUCUCACUCUGCAUCACUUCCUGGAGGUUGUUCCAGUCUCCAUGGAACUUCUCCACUUUAUUAUUCCUUUUAGCACAAUAGUACUAUCUUUUAAGAGUACCUUGGCAACAAAAGCUUCUGUGGCUCAGGCAGUAGGAAAUGCUUCCAGUCAUUUGGCCGGUUGAUCCACUAUGACUAGACAAAAUUUGUAAUGUUCAUCCUAUUGCUUUGAUGACCACUGCUUUAAAGUACAGUUUAAGAUCUGAUACUACUAGGCCCCCAUCCUUCAUAUUUUUUUCAUUAGUUCCCUUGAUAUUCUUGAUCUUUUGUUAUAUUGUUUUUCUAAUUCAAUAAAAAAACGUUUCUUGGUAGUUUAAUAGGUAUGGCACGGAAUAAAUAAAUCCAUUUGGGUAGGAUUGUCAUUUUUAUUACAUUAGCUUGCCCUACCUUUGAGCAAUUCAUGUUUUUCCAAUUAUUUAGAUCUAGUUUUAAUGGUGUGGAAAAUGUUUUGUAGUUGUGUUCAUAUAAUUCCUGUGUUUGUCUUGGUAAAUAGAUUCCUAAAUACAUGUAGAUAACUUUUGACAAUUGUUUUCUGACAUUUUAUCAUUCAGAUCCUCUCCUUUCCUCCCUUCCUCCCAUCCUGAUGUGGUAAAUAAUAAAUAAUCAGAUAUAGCUUA